rnacentral:rRNA from 1 species
AAUGAACGCUGGCGGCGUGCCUAACACAUGCAAGUCGAACGAGAAAUUCCCUGCUUGCAGGGGAGAGUAAAGUGGCGCACGGGUGAGUAACGCGUAAGUAAUCUACCCCCGCAUUCGGAAUAACUCGUCGAAAGGUGAGCUAAUACCGGAUACGUUUAUCUUGAUGCGAAUGAUGAUAAAGAAAGGUGGCCUCUUCAUGAAAGCUACUGUGCAGGGAUGAGCUUGCGUACCAUUAGCUAGUUGGUAGGGUAAUGGCCUACCAAGGCGACGAUGGUUAGCGGGUCUGAGAGGAUGAUCCGCCACACUGGAACUGGAACACGGACCAGACACCUACGGGUGGCUG